UUCAAAAACCUAUUGAUGCGUAUACACUUCCAAAUAGAAUGUACUGAAAUACCAGCUAAGCUUCAAUUCAAAUAACUAAUCCUGAAUCAUCCGGCAACAUCAACUGCAAAACACAGACGUUACGAUGCUUUUUUUUUCACUCUCUACGAUGUUUCAUAAAUGGUUUUGAAGAAAUGGGCUUAAGGACAGAAGUAACCUACGUUACCAUGUCAAGAUUACAAAGUCUUUACAAUACAGUGGCAGCAUAAAACUGACUCUGUCCUUCUAACAAAGAAGGUAAACCACCGCAGCAAUAAAGUCAGAUCCAUCCAAUCGUCGCCCUGGAGUACAACGACAGCUGUUUCCAAGGGAAGACGGCUAUCGGCCUGAGCUAAUCAGAGACAUAGGAGAGCAGCCUUCAUUCCUCGCCAUGGCUCACGCGACCCUUUAAUCACAGCGACUAACCUCACUGCCAAAAUGUCAUCCCCAAAAAGGCGUUUACCCGUUUACCAGAACAGCUCCUCGCUGUCUGUGCACAAGAUCUAAUUUGUUACCGACAACGACACGUAAAGCGGAGCGAAGGGGGGCUGCAGGAAGGGGGAGCCGCUCUGCAGCUCGGUUCCAGCCUGCCAGCCCUGGAACCCACACUCUCCUCCGCUCCGAGUUUGCAGAACCGGCCCCGAGCGCCCCGCGGGGCGGGACA